rnacentral:rRNA from 1 species
CCUACGGGAGGCAGCAGUGAGGAAUAUUGGUCAAUGGGCGCAAGCCUGAACCAGCCAAGCAGCGUGAAGGACGACUGCCCUACGGGUUGUAAACUUCUUUUAUAAAGGAACAAAGUCAGGCUCGUGAGCCUUUCUGUGUGUACUUUAUGAAUAAGGAUCGGCUAACUCCGUGCCAGCAGCCGCGGUAAUACGGAGGAUGCGAGCGUUAUCCGGAUUUAUUGGGUUUAACGGGAGCGUAGAUGGGUUGUUAAGUCAGUGGUGAAAGUUUGGGGCUCAACCCUAAGAUUGCGAUUGAUACUGGCAGCCUUGAGUACAGGUGAGGUAGGCGGAAGUCGUGGUGUAGCGGUGAAAUGCUUAGAUAUCACGAAGAACUCCGAUUGCGAAGGCAGCAUACU